rnacentral:rRNA from 1 species
AGAGUUUGAUCAUGGCUCAGGACGAACGCUGGCGGCGUGCCUAAUACAUGCAAGUCGAGCGAGCGGAACUAACAGAUUUACUUCGGUAAUGACGUUAGGAAAGCGAGCGGCGGAUGGGUGAGUAACACGUGGGGAACCUGCCCCAUAGUCUGGGAUACCACUUGGAAACAGGUGCUAAUACCGGAUAAUAAAGCAGAUCGCAUGAUCAGCUUUUAAAAGGCGGCGUAAGCUGUCGCUAUGGGAUGGCCCCGCGGUGCAUUAGCUAGUUGGUAAGGUAAAGGCUUACCAAGGCGAUGAUGCAUAGCCGACCUGAGAGGGUAAUCGGCCACAUUGGGACUGAGACACGGCCCAAACUCCUACGGGAGGCAGCAGUAGGGAAUCUUCCACAAUGGACGAAAGUCUGAUGGAGCAACGCCGCGUGAGUGAAGAAGGGUUUCGGCUCGUAAAACUCUGUUGUUAAAGAAGAACAUAUCUGAGAGUAACUGUUCAGGUAUUGACGGUAUUUAACCAGAAAGCCACGGCUAACUACGUGCCAGCAGCCGCGGUAAUACGUAGGUGGCAAGCGUUGUCCGGAUUUAUUGGGCGUAAAGCGAGCGCAGGCGGUUUUUUAAGUCUGAUGUGAAAGCCUUCGGCUCAACCGAAGAAGUGCAUCGGAAACUGGGAAACUUGAGUGCAGAAGAGGACAGUGGAACUCCAUGUGUAGCGGUGAAAUGCGUAGAUAUAUGGAAGAACACCAGUGGCGAAGGCGGCUGUCUGGUCUGUAACUGACGCUGAGGCUCGAAAGUAUGGGUAGCAAACAGGAUUAGAUACCCUGGUAGUCCAUACCGUAAACGAUGAAUGCUAAGUGUUGGAGGGUUUCCGCCCUUCAGUGCUGCAGCUAACGCAUUAAGCAUUCCGCCUGGGGAGUACGGCCGCAAGGCUGAAACUCAAAGGAAUUGACGGGGGCCCGCACAAGCGGUGGAGCAUGUGGUUUAAUUCGAAGCUACGCGAAGAACCUUACCAGGUCUUGACAUACUAUGCAAAUCUAAGAGAUUAGACGUUCCCUUCGGGGACAUGGAUACAGGUGGUGCAUGGUUGUCGUCAGCUCGUGUCGUGAGAUGUUGGGUUAAGUCCCGCAACGAGCGCAACCCUUAUUAUCAGUUGCCAGCAUUAAGUUGGGCACUCUGGUGAGACUGCCGGUGACAAACCGGAGGAAGGUGGGGAUGACGUCAAAUCAUCAUGCCCCUUAUGACCUGGGCUACACACGUGCUACAAUGGAUGGUACAACGAGUUGCGAACUCGCGAGAGUAAGCUAAUCUCUUAAAGCCAUUCUCAGUUCGGAUUGUAGGCUGCAACUCGCCUACAUGAAGUCGGAAUCGCUAGUAAUCGCGGAUCAGCAUGCCGUGGUGAAUACGUUCCCGGGCCUUGUACACACCGCCCGUCACACCAUGAGAGUUUGUAACACCCAAAGUCGGUGGGGUAACCUUUUAGGAACCAGCCGCCUAAGGUGGGACAGAUGAUUAGGGUGAAGUCGUAACAAGGUAACC